rnacentral:rRNA from 1 species
GGGUAGUUUGACUGGGGCGGUCUCCUCCUAAAGAGUAACGGAGGAGCACGAAGGUUGGCUAAUCCUGGUCGGACAUCAGGAGGUUAGUGCAAUGGCAUAAGCCAGCUUGACUGCGAGCGUGACGGCGCGAGCAGGUGCGAAAGCAGGUCAUAGUGAUCCGGUGGUUCUGAAUGGAAGGGCCAUCGCUCAACGGAUAAAAGGUACUCCGGGGAUAACAGGCUGAUACCGCCCAAGAGUUCAUAUCGACGGCGGUGUUUGGCACCUCGAUGUCGGCUCAUCACAUCCUGGGGCUGAAGUAGGUCCCAAGGGUAUGGCUGUUCGCCAUUUAAAGUGGUACGCGAGCUGGGUUUAGAACGUCGUGAGACAGUUCGGUCCCUAUCUGCCGUGGGCGCUGGAGAACUGAGGGGGGCUGCUCCUAGUACGAGAGGACCGGAGUGGACGCAUCACUGGUGUUCGGGUUGUCAUGCCAAUGGCACUGCCCGGUAGCUAAAUGCGGAAGAGAUAAGUGCUGAAAGCAUCUAAGCACGAAACUUGCCCCGAGAUGAGUUCUCCCUGACUCCUUGAGAGUCCUGAAGGAACGUUGAAGACGACGACGUUGAUAGGCCGGGUGUGUAAGCGCAGCGAUGCGUUGAGCUAACCGGUACUAAUGAACCGUGAGGCUUAACCUUACAACGCCG